rnacentral:lncRNA from 1 species
AUCUAGAGAUGAUCUCACCCCUUGCAAUAGUAUAAUGGUUCUGCUUUCUGCCUAGAAACAGUUUCAGUUCAAUAAAACAGUAAUUUCAUGUAAAUCAAAUUGCUGUGUGUUAAAUCUUGUUAUGAAAUAUAAUAUAGUUGCAUGAGCUAGCUAGCAUCCCUGUACCCCCAAAAAUAAAUUCUGCUGGAAUAAUUGCAAAAUUUUCUCUAUUCUUUCUUCAUAAAUUUAGGGGUUGAAAUAAUUGAAGGGCAUUUAUAUGUUGGAACAGAUAGGUGCAAGCUUCAGAUUAUGUCCGACCACUGUUUGCAGAGGUAGCAUCUGUGGCUUUCAGUGACAAAAACUUUCUUUAAGGAGCAUGUCUUUUGUAUUUUGUAACCAUUGAUGUCUAAAAAUGGAGAUGUCACCAAGUACUCCAAUGACAGGCCCCCUUUGCUGAAUUGUUGCCACCUUAUUUUCUCUUGAGCAGCUUAGGGUACUGAGAUUCAAGAACGCAACUACGUUUAUGGAAGGAUGCAUCUCAUCUUACGGUUGAGAACCUCGUUGUAGUGGUGGUUUAAACUAUGUAACUGAACACACAGACUAUGACAUUGUAUAUUUAAUCUUACCUUAAAAAUUUUGAGGGAAAAGAAAUAGAUGAUGAGUUGGCAAUUUUCCAGUAGAUGUCAAUGAAUUAUAUGAAUUGUGUGAUUGAUCUGAAAAAUCAUUUUUUGAAAUCUGCAUAUUUGCAUACCCUCCAUGGCAGUUUCAAAGUUUCAAUACUGUAUUUUCUUUUCUCUUACAUUAGGUGAUAUUUGAAGGAUUUGGUGAUGCAGAAAGCACGCAGUUUCAUGCUGUAAUACAUCAAAGCUGUUGAUAUUAGAUCGGACAGUCUAGAUUAUACAUCAAUUGAAUGAUCUCAGCCAUUGAUCUAAACCAGACGGUCCUUAUUUGUAUCCCUCAAUCAAAGUAAACCAGUGUGGCACGCAGCUCUGAUAUGGAAAAAUAAAAUAAAAAAGUCAACAAAAAAUAUACCAAACCUUAUAAAUGAACUAUUGAUAUAAUUGAAUCGGAUAAUAAACUAAUAUUUAAGCUCACUUGCUGCCACCAUUUGGAGUUGGUUGCUGGCAUUUGGGAAGUUUGCAAUAGAGGUUGGACUCUUCAAUGUAACCACUGGCUCCUCAGUUUUAUGCUAUGCAGAAUUAAGUUCUUGAUGGGGCUUUACACAGGUAAUUAAGAUUAUUGUUAUUUUGAUAUGUUUUUCUUUNUAUUUGGAAUGGUGGGAGGCGGUUUAAUCAAGCUGAAGACAUGGCAGAAGACAGCUGUGGCAUUAGGUUCUGCAGUUGGAGCACUUUUGGAUCCACGAAGAGCUGAUUUGAUAGCAGCUCUUGGUGAAACAACCGGAAAGCCUGCCUUUCAAAGGGUUCUUCAAAGGAUGAAAUCUUCCCCUGAAGGAAGGGUCGGUUCUCCAAUUUUUAGUUAUUUUCAUGUUCUUUUAUUCUUUCAACAACAUGUUUGUUUUCUUUUGGAAUUUCAAAAUUCUACAAGGAUGAUUAUUGCUUCAUUUCUUCAGAUUAAAGGGGUUAUAGAUAGUCAUCACUAAUACCAAUGCAUUUGCUUUUACAACCUUACCUUGUUUGACAGGCAGUACUUUUGGAGCGCCCUCGUGUUGUAUCUGCGAAUGUAGGACAUGCUUGGGACCUGCCAGCUAAUACAUUUGGUGCUGCCUAUGCUAGAUUUAUGGGAUCCAGGAAUUUUUCACCAGAUGAUCGACCUCCUGUGCGCUUCAUGGAUACAGAUGAGUUGGCCUAUGUUGCCAUGCGAGCUCGUGAAGUCCAUGACUUCUGGCAUACCCUUUUUGACCUUCCUACUAACUUGAUUGGGGAGUCAGCGCUAAAGGUAAUUGAGUUUGAGCAGAUGCAUCUUCCUAUGUGUGUCAUGUCUGUUUUAGGAGGCACAGCAAGAUUCAGUGAAAAACAAAGAAAAUUGUUUUAUCAGCACUACUUCCCCUGGGCUGUUCGUGCUGGCACACAGUGCAAUGAUCUCAUGUGUGUAUAUUAUGAGCAGCAUUUUCAUCAAGAUUUGGAAGAUGUUCGCAGAAAAUUGGGAAUUAUUCCUGUUCCAGCUAUUCCUUGACUCAAUGCUUUCCGAGUUUAUGAGUUUAUGUUUAUUUUUCUGGUUAUUAUAGCUGAUGGUAGAAUAGUGCAAUCAUAUUUUGUUUUUUAAUAAUAUCCAGUGCAAAAUCUAUCUCCAAUAUUUUAGUUAGUGAGUUUUAUAUAGGUUGUAUUUUAUCAGUGACUUGUAUAUCAUGAUCAAUUUAAAUAGACUUACGAACACAGGCUGUGUUCAGUUUUAUAAUCCACAUUUCCUAUAGUGAUUCUUCAACCAAUAUAAUUGUAGCCAAUGGAUUUCAUGUAUGACCGAUUAUUGAAAGGAUAAUUGCCUAUAUCUGGACGAAAUCUUAUCUAUAACUAUACCGUGGCUGUCAAAAGUGCUGGAUCGUGCUGCACUCGCGGAAGAGCAUGGCAUAGCAACGGCUCACCUUCACAGGAGUCACUGACUCACUGGCGUGUCACUUAUUAUGGAUGUGACCGGAACAGAGAAGUUUUGGCUCAGUUUCACAAUGCAGUUUGAGUAUGGAGUGUGGACAGACACACCAGAGAUGCAAAUGUAACAAUGAAAUUUAUUUACCUUAUGUCUUUAUGAAUAUAAAAAAAUUAAAUUUUAAUAUUCAUUAAUUAAUGUAACAACACGUCUUUAGAUCUUGUAAAAAAACACGCCGUUAUAUAUAUAUAUAUAUAUAUAUAUAUAUAUGUGUGUGUAUGUAAAAUAACAUUUAUUAAAUUAUAUUUUUAGAGAUUAAAUAAACUACUACUAUUUUUUUUUAUUUGAUAAAGAAAUAAUAAUAAUAAUAAUAAUUAUUAUUUUUUUAAAGAAAUUAUUUAUUUUUAUUUUUAUUAUGUUACACUAAUUUUGCAAUAAAAAAAGUCUAUACCCGUUUCUAUCUCGUACAAACCUAGAGUAUAUUUUUAUAAUUUUCUUUUUAUUUUAUUUUUUGUCAUUUAACUUUAUUCCACACACACCAUAUUUAUUUCAAAGUUAAUUUUCUCUCUCUUCACCAAAGAAAUCUAGAAAACUCUCUCAUUCUCAAACAAACCCUAGCCGACGCCUCCUCCUCCUCCUCCUCCCUCCUUCAGUGUNGCUUGCUAAAAAAUGUGCAACUUGCUCGGUCAAAUUCUAUCAAAGAUGGUCGGAACCUUAAUAAUGAGAACAAGAAUACAAAUGGUUUCAUGUUGUUGGAUAAAGAUAAUGGCCAGAAUGGAAGUUCUCUUAGAAAAGACCACCGCAAAAAGAGUUCUCCAUUGAAGUUAAUCAUCAUGUCUGCAAGUCUUGAUGCUCGCACCUUCUCUGAGUACUUUGGUGGUGCCAAAGCUGUUCACAUCCAAGGGAGACAGUUUCCUGUGGAUAUAUUUUAUACUCGUCAUCCAAAAACAGAUUAUGUAGAUGCUGCCUUGAUAACGAUUUUCCAGGUCAUUGGUUUAAUCAGUGCAUGUAAUAAUUUAAUAACGUGGUUUAACUUAUUUUAUUGUAAGAGACCUUAGAUCCUAAUGCACCUCAGUCUUAGGACAGUAAUUCUGUGUAUGCAUUUAUGGUACAUGUUUGUGCAUUGCAUCAGUCAUUCAGCCAUACUGCUGUUAAUACACACACCGACACACAGAUUAGAUUAUAACAUCGCGGCGAUGGCUGAGAAGUUAAGUUCAUAUUAUUGUCAUUUAAAGUCUUGUGUCUUUGAUGUUAUAGGUUCAUCAAGAUGAGGCUCCUGGUGAUAUACUAGUAUUUCUGACUGGGCAAGAAGAGAUUGAUGCUGUUGAAAGGCUUAUCAAGGAGCGACUUUCAAAGUUACCUCAAGAAUAUCAGAGGCUUCAAGUUGUGCCAAUAUAUGCAGCUCUUCCAUCUGAGCAGCAAAUGCGAGCCUUUGCACCGGCUCCAUCUGGGUUUCAUAAGGUAUCCUGUAGCUAUGCAUAUUAUCCUUUGUUAAAUUAUCGUAUUACUUCUGCAUAGAAUUUUAUAGAAAAAUCAGGAAAAUAAGUUUAAUUUAUCCAAUCGUUAUUUUUUUAUUUAAUUUAAACAGUUGACAUUUCCAUCUAGGUUUUUAUUUAUUCUCUUGAAGCACUCUGUUUCCUAUGACGAUGUUAUUAAUUUAUAAAGUAAAUGCUGGUUCCCGGUUGCCUCAUUUAGUGCCUCAGCGUGUUUAGAACAUAUGCUCGUUCUUUAAUAUUGCAUAUUUUGUUAUAUGGAAGUUUCAUCAUUGGAUGUUCUCUUAGACACGUUAGACUUAUAUAAUGAUCAUCUUCUGUUAGAACUGGUAUCGAAAGUAGAAAAAGUAAGAUCGAAAAACUGAAAAUUGCAAAAAAGUGGUUCUUGAGUUGAUAACAAUAUGCACUAUGGCCAAUAUAUCAAAUUGGUGGAUACAUCAGCCUCUGGUUUCAAGUACCUGCAACUUCCAAAUUCUACAACCCCCACAAACUCGCUACUUUCUAGUUCCACCCGUAUUUAUGAGUUAUAACUCCCCCUUCCUGUCUCUUCUUGGUUAGUUAUUUAGAUACAAUGUAUUUCCUAUACUGUCCCCUGCUCUUCCUCAUAUCGCUAUAAAUUAAUAGGAAGUUUCUCAACAUUUUCCAUUUACAUUCAUGAUUUGUUACCUCUACUCUCUAUCGUUUGAUAGCGUUUCCAUUGUGGUCCAAUUCCUCUGAUGUCAAAUUCAGAACUAACAUUUUUUUUCUUCCAACGUCAUUAUUUGCUUUGUUGCUUCUAUCAUUGGAUCACUUUGGUUGUAAUGUACUAUAUGUAUUGUUUUUUAUACCGUCACACUUACCGAAAUGCACCUACCAGUAUCUAUGUAUACCAACCUAUGAUUUUCCUUUACUUAUAAGUUAUAACCUUCAUCAUGUAAUAUGUCACCAUCACCUAUACUCCUUUUGGAACUAUGCCAUCUGAACUGGCAACAAUCCUUAUACAAAAUAGUGUCUGCUAGGAGUAGGACCAUAUUUUUUUCCCAUAGUAGAGUGUCACCUUUUUAGUUUGAGCCUGUGAAUAACAAUAACACCAAUCAAGCCUUUAAUGUGAGCUACUUUAUAUUCAAAGUAACCUCUGAUAUUUAUCAUAGCAGGUAAUCACAUGUCUUAAAUUUUAUUCAACUUGGCUCUUUCUUGUUCUGUUAGGUGAUAUUGGCAACUAAUAUUGCCGAGACAUCAAUUACGAUUCCUGGAAUCAAGUAUGUAAUUGAUCCUGGACUUGUAAAAGCGCGUUCCUAUGAUCCUGGAAAAGGCAUGGAAUCUUUAAUUGUAGUACCUACAUCCUAGUCUCAGGCAUUGCAAAGAAGGUAUGGUACUGGAUUAUGUUUCAAUCUGUUUAAUAUUUGAUUCUGUUUCAUGUUUAAUUGCUGCUGUAAUUGUUGGUUGAAUUAAUUUAGUUAAUGUAAUGAAAAUUAAACAAGUUUGGUUCAGUUUAACUGAGAAUGACUUCCUUUCUCAUUUCAAGUUGAGUUUGUUGAUGACCUUUGAUUUUCCUCAAAAAAUGUGUAUUUUCUUAACUAAGGUCUUUGAAAUGUGAAUCCAGCAUCAUUAUUUCUAGAACUUCUUUUUUGUUAAACAUGGCUUGGCUUAACAACAACAAUUAACUAAAACCUUAUCCCACUAGUUGUGGGCGGCUAUGAGUCAAAUGAUGCCAUAAUUUAAAUGACACCAUAAUCAAAACCAUUGAUUUCCCUCAAAAACAUGUAUUUUCUUAACAAAGACUUUGGAAAUGUGAAUCUACCAUCAUUACUUCUAGAACUUGUUUUUUUUAUUACACAUACCGAGGCAUUACAACAACAAUAAUAAAACCUUAUCCCACUAGUUGGGGUCGGCUAUAUGAGUCGAAUGCCACCGUAGUUCCCUAUCUUGUGAUAAGUUCAGAAAUAGAUUCCCUACUUCUAAAUCUCUCUUGAUGGUUUGGCCUAUAGUUUUUCAUGGUCUCGCUCUACCUUUAACCAUUGGACUAUCUUUUAUCUAGCAAACUUUCCUUCAUAGUGUCGUGUGUGUCCACUCAUCUAUCUUAACCUUCUUAUUAUGCAACAUAAGUAAUAUAUUUAGUUUGAUUUUGCUAGAAGAGUAGUGCAAAUUGAUUAUCUGCAUUUUGGUAACAGUGGGCGUGCAGGGCGUGAAGGACCUGGAAAAUGCUUUCGGCUAUAUCCAGAAAAUGAAUUUGAGAAACUUGAGGAUUCAACAAUGCCGGAAAUUAAGCGUUGCAACCUUUCUAAUGUCAUUUUGCAGCUUAAGGCUUUGGGUGUUGACGACAUAUUAGGGUUCGAUUUCAUUGAGAAACCUUCAAGGUGAGAACCUUAUCAAAAUUUUGGUUUGACAACUUCCCUACUUAUGCAUAUUUGUGGAUAAGUUCUGAUUGCUUAUAUUUUUAAGGCUAAGUUACUAUGUAGAUUUUAAAGUUUCACUUUGUUUUUAAAUAGGUUCUUAUACUUGAAAAAAAAUUAGUGUUCUGAAAGAAUCUAUUUGAAAAUUCAUGAAACUACAGGGGUCUGCAGACUAAUGAAGCCUGUUUAAAAUAUGCAUGUCCUGAAAGCUUUUCUUUCCACCUUCUGCUUAUCUUUUAAAAGGAUUUUUAAGUCACUUGAAAAGAUGCUAUUAUCUCUCUACCAAGAUGAUUCCUUCAACCUAUAUAGGUCCUUUUGAUUAUCCUUUAAUUUCUUUUUGUUGUAAUGUGAUCUAAACUGGAGAUAAAAAUCCAUUUGAAUAUUAGGUGCUUCAAUUCAAAUUUUCUUUCAUGAAAAAUAAAAUUAUUGAGGUCUGACUAUAUUGUAUUCUUAUACAUAAAGAAUAAGAAUGACAUGACAUUUAUAUUGACAAAUAACCAAAAAUCAAUAAAAGUGUCAUAUAUAUUAUUAAUGCAGAAAUAUUUUUAGGAAUAUUUGUAUACUGAUAAAGAAACUAAGAAUAAUACAUAGACAGCACUAAAUAAAACCUUGCUUGGACCAUGAACUUGUACCUUAAAAUGAAUCUAUAAAUAUAAUUUCUAUGUACCUGAAAACUACAAAAUAUUAAAAGUGGGCUUCCGAGAAAUUUUUUGGACUGAAUGGAGAAAAUACAUUUACCUGAGUUAUUAAACACGUAUGUUCGACUUACUGGUUUUCAACCUUGCACACAAGGCAAUCAGUAGUGAGUUCAAAUAUUUGAAACCUCUAUUGACUCAGUUUCUUUGAUGUCAGUUGUCUCAUGCAUUGUACUCCAUAACUAAAUUACGAACAUUUUUAUAGAGUUCUUCGUUUCUUUCUGUGUUUUCGAAAAGUAUAUCACCGAGCAACAUAUUACUCAAAGCUUGUACCUGUCACAUGUUUUAACAGGACAGCUAUAGUAAAAUCAUUGGAGCAGCUAUUUUUGUUAGGUGCUUUGACAGAUGACUGUCAACUAUCUGAUCCAGUUGGACUUCAAAUGGCCCGACUUCCCUUGGAUCCAGUUUAUGCCAAAGCUCUUAUUUUAGCAAGUCAGUUUAACUGCUUGGAAGAGAUGUUGAUAGCUGUUGCAAUGCUUUCUGCGGAAUCCAUAUUUUAUUUUCCGCGCGAUAAGUAUGAAGAGGUUUGAAGAGUGAAUUCGGAUUGUAAUCCAUUCCUAUCAUAUUUUAUUGUUCUAUUUUGGUGAAACGUAAAUACGUGCAUGAAUCAUUGAUUAUGUGCUAUGCCACUCUAUUGGUAUAUUCACCGUUUAACAAAAUAUUUGAAAAAUAUCAUACGGAUGGUUUAACUAUAUGCGAUUGGUAAUGACCGUAUGAAAAUUCUAGUCUUCAUUUGACGUCAACUUGUCUUCUCUACACUUAACUUAUUGUGCUUCUCUGAUUUAUGGCCAGGCAAGAACUGCAGCUAAGAGCUUUGCAAGUCCAGAGGGAGACCACAUCACUCUGAUUAAUGUGUUUAGAGCAGCUACUGAUUUAUUGGAGAAGAGAACUAUCGAAAUUAAUAAAAUGAAAAAUGAAAAGGAUUUUAGAAAAUGGUGCAAAGAAAAUUUUAUCAAUAGCCGUUCUCUUAGACAUGCUCGUGACAUUCACAGGUUGUUUUAUUGUGCUUAAACUUUAUUUCAAGGCAUCUAUAAUAUCCUCAAGACAUUUUAUGCAUUCUAAUUUCUGAAACGCCUUUUUCAGGCAGAUUCAAGGACAUGUUCAACAAAUGGGUCUGAAACUUGCUUCUUGUGGAGAAGAUAUGCUUCAAUUUCGCAGAUGCCUUGUUGCUUCCUUUUUCCUCAAUGCAGCUGUGAAGCAGCCAGAUGGAACCUACAGGUAUCCAUUUUAACUUCAAAAUUCUUGGGCAGGCCCAUUAGGCCAUCUAAUUGGAAUCAUUACAUGAAAAUAUCGUUUAGUUUUGAAAUUUUUCAUUGGUAAUUAUGAUUCGCUAAUUGGAGUCCUGACCUUACAUGCAUAUACACUCUUAUAAUAUUUUGCUUUUUUGUUUUUACUUAUACUUUUAUGAUAAAAAAAGACUCUUACUGCUUCUUCACACAACAGGGCUUUGGCAAGUGGUCAGGUGGUGCAGAUCCAUCCUUCGUCUGUAUUGUUCAGGAAGAAACCAGAGUGCAUAAUAUUUAACGAACUGAUUCAAACUAAUAACAAGUAUGUCCGUGAUUUAACCAGAGUUGACAACCUAUGGUUAACUGAACUGGCUCCUCAGUUUUAUGCUAUGCAGAAUUAAGUUCUUGAUGGGGCUUUACACAGGUAAUUAAGAUUAUUGUUAUUUUGAUAUGUUUUUCUUUUUGGUCUUGACCCUGUUGGGUGGUUUUUGAAUAUGUAUUAUGCGCAAAUUUUAUUUUGCGUCCAUGACNGGGAGGGAGGGAGGGAGGGAGGGAGAUUGAGAGAAUCGCUCAUAUUUUCAUAUAUUUGAAUUGUGUAUUACAAUUUUCUGAUCUGUUAAUAACAGAUUCUGGGAAUUUAUAUUAUUGUUAUCCUGCACCCAGUAUUGGCUUAACCUGCACAUGUGGCACUCUAUUUUUCACGUGCCUGAUUAUAGCUGUUACACAGCUAGAACACCAGAAAACUAUCUAGAGAUGAUCUCACCCCUUGCAAUAGUAUAAUGGUUCUGCUUUCUGCCUAGAAACAGUUUCAGUUCAAUAAAACAGUAAUUUCAUGUAAAUCAAAUUGCUGUGUGUUAAAUCUUGUUAUGAAAUAUAAUAUAGUUGCAUGAGCUAGCUAGCAUCCCUGUACCCCCAAAAAUAAAUUCUGCUGGAAUAAUUGCAAAAUUUUCUCUAUUCUUUCUUCAUAAAUUUAGGGGUUGAAAUAAUUGAAGGGCAUUUAUAUGUUGGAACAGAUAGGUGCAAGCUUCAGAUUAUGUCCGACCACUGUUUGCAGAGGUAGCAUCUGUGGCUUUCAGUGACAAAAACUUUCUUUAAGGAGCAUGUCUUUUGUAUUUUGUAACCAUUGAUGUCUAAAAAUGGAGAUGUCACCAAGUACUCCAAUGACAGGCCCCCUUUGCUGAAUUGUUGCCACCUUAUUUUCUCUUGAGCAGCUUAGGGUACUGAGAUUCAAGAACGCAACUACGUUUAUGGAAG